AUGCUCGCUUUGGCAGCACAUAUACUAAAACUGGACUGAUAAUAGAGAAGAUCAGCAUGGCCCCUGUGCAAGGAUGAUACGCAAAUUCAUGAAGUGUUCCAUAUUUUU
ensembl:snRNA U6 U6 spliceosomal RNA